GAUGAACGCUGGCGGCGUGCCUAAUACAUGCAAGUCGAGCGAACGGACGAGAAGCUUGCUUCUCUGAUGUUAGCGGCGGACGGGUGAGUAACACGUGGAUAACCUACCUAUAAGACUGGGAUAACUUCGGGAAACCGUAGCUAAUACCGGAUAAUAUUUUGAACCGCAUGGUUCAAAAGUGAAAGACGGUCUUGCUGUCACUUAUAGAUGGAUCCGCGCUGCAUUAGCUAGUUGGUAAGGUAACGGCUUACCAAGGCAACGAUGCAUAGCCGACCUGAGAGGGUGAUCGGCCACACUGGAACUGAGACAAGGUCCAGACUCCUACGGGAGGCAGCAGUAGGGAAUCUUACGCAAUGGGCGAAAGCCUGACGGAGCAACGCCGCGUGAGUGAUGAAGGUCUUCGGAUCGUAAAACUCUGUUAUUAGGGAAGAACAUAUGUGCAAGUAACUGUGCACAUCUUGACGGUACCUAAUCAGAAAGCCACGGCUAACUACGUG
rnacentral:rRNA from 1 species